UUUUGACUAUACAAAGGUAUUGAAAUAAGAUUUUAAUUGAAUGCUAAGAGAAUGGAAUUUCAGAAAAAAACUUUUUUCAAGUUAAAAAUUGAAAUUUUUUUAAUUUGUGCAGAAACAAUUAUUAAUAUUAAGGACAAGAAGACCCUAUGAAUUUAUAAAUUUUAUUUAAUAUGUAACUACUAUUGAAAAAAUUUUAGCUGGGGCGGCGGAAAAAUAUUUAAAACUUUUUUAAAAUAAAAUGAUCCAUUAUUAAUGAUUAUAUGUUAAAUACUCUAGGGAUAACAGCGUU
rnacentral:rRNA from 1 species